AUUGAACGCUGGCGGCAGGCCUAACACAUGCAAGUCGAGCGGAUGAAGGGAGCUUGCUCCUGGAUUCAGCGGCGGACGGGUGAGUAAUGCCUAGGAAUCUGCCUGGUAGUGGGGGAUAACGUCCGGAAACGGGCGCUAAUACCGCAUACGUCCUGAGGGAGAAAGUGGGGGAUCUUCGGACCUCACGCUAUCAGAUGAGCCUAGGUCGGAUUAGCUAGUUGGUGGGGUAAAGGCCUACCAAGGCGACGAUCCGUAACUGGUCUGAGAGGAUGAUCAGUCACACUGGAACUGAGACACGGUCCAGACUCCUACGGGAGGCAGCAGUGGGGAAUAUUGGGCAAUGGGCGAAAGCCUGAUCCAGCCAUGCCGCGUGUGUGAAGAAGGUCUUCGGAUUGUAAAGCACUUUAAGUUGGGAGAAAGGGCAGUAAGUUAAUACCUUGCUGUUUUGACGUUACCAACAGAAUAAGCACCGGCUAACUUCGUG
rnacentral:rRNA from 1 species